AGUGAACGCUGGCGGUAGGCCUAACACAUGCAAGUCGAACGGCAGCACAGUAAUAGCUUGCUCUUACGGGUGGCGAGUGGCGGACGGGUGAGGAAUACAUCGGAAUCUACUUUUUCGUGGGGGAUAACGUAGGGAAACUUACGCUAAUACCGCAUACGACCUACGGGUGAAAGCAGGGGAUCUUCGGACCUUGCGCGAUUGAAUGAGCCGAUGUCGGAUUAGCUAGUUGGCGGGGUAAAGGCCCACCAAGGCGACGAUCCGUAGCUGGUCUGAGAGGAUGGUCAGCCACACUGGAACUGAGACACGGUCCAGACUCCUACGGGAGGCAGCAGUGGGGAAUAUUGGACAAUGGGCGCAAGCCUGAUCCAGCCAUACCGCGUGGGUGAAGAAGGCCUUCGGGUUGUAAAGCCCUUUUGUUGGGAAAGAAAAGCAGCAGGUUAAUACCCCGCUGUUCUGGCGGUACCCAAAGAAUAAGCACCGGCUAACUUCGUG
rnacentral:rRNA from 1 species